AAAAACAUCGCCUCUUGAUUUUCAUAAGAGGUCCAGCCUGCCCAGUGACAUAAUUAAACGGCCGCGGUACCCUAACCGUGCAAAGGUAGCAUAAUCACUUGUCCUCUAAAUAAGGACCUGUAUCAACGGCAUCACGAGGGUUACACUGUCUCCCCUUUUUAAUCAGUGAAACUGACUUUCCCGUGAAGAGGCGGGAAUAAAAAUACAAGACGAGAAGACCCCAUGGAGCUUUAAACCCGAUAAUACCUUCUACUUACUAUAACUGCUUAAUCAAAAAGCCCUAUCUAUCGGUUUUAGGUUGGGGUGACCCUGGAGUAAAACUAAACCUCCAUGACGAACGGACUACCUUAAUCCAAGAGCAACUGCUCUACGAAUCAAAAUUUUGACGUAACUGAUCCGCCUAGCGAUCAACGAACCAAGUUACCCUGGGGAUAACAGCGCAAUCCAUUUCAAGAGCUCCUAUCGACAAAUGGGUUUACGACCUCGAUGUUGGAUCAGGGUAUCCCAGUGGUGCAGCCGCUACUAAAGGUUUGUUUGUUCAACAAUUAAAACCCU
rnacentral:rRNA from 1 species